rnacentral:lncRNA from 1 species
AAUUAUUAAAAUAUAAAUGUUUUUCCCAGAACUGUGUUAAAGUGCUGUUAUCCAAUGUUACUUAUUUAAACAUUUCUGUUAGGAGAGAGUUUCUAAAAUACGAUUUAUUUUUUCUUUGACAUCCAGAGUUCUUUUCACUUAAACAGUUGACUGACUAGUGUAAGAAGAAUACUGAAUAAAUUUUCUAUCCAGAUCUUGAUAGUAUUCCAAAAAAAGAUUAUUAUAAUGUAUAGUUGUUGAUAAGCAAAUGCUUCCUGUACAUUUAUCAGAAUUUUUACAUUUGUUAGAUUUGAGACUACUUGCCUAGGUUCACUUCCUGAGAUGAGCAAUAAUCUGAUAUUGCAACAACCACCUUUUCCCUAAUAAAAUUUUCAGCCUUCUUGAAAGACACUGUUAAGCAGCAUGAGCAAAUGUUCCAUGGUUAUUGCUAAUAUCUACAAAAAUUUUGUACAAAGAUAUUUCUUUGAUUAUUUAAAGAUGCAAAAUCGUACAAAAAAUCGUAUGCGUUCUUUUGUUCUUUACCUGAUGAUGGCGCCUAGAGCGUUGAAAACGUUUGUAAUUAAAGUUAAUUUUACUUUUGUUAUACCUAUCUGCCUAAAAGAGCUUUUAUUUUUAUAUAUUUAAAGAUGCUCAUCAACACACUUUAACC